rnacentral:rRNA from 1 species
CUGUGCAAAGGUAGCAUAAUCAUUAGUUUUUUAAUUGAAAGCUGGAAUGAACGGUUUGAUAAAAAAAAUUCUGUCUCAAUUUUAAUUUUGGAAUUUUAUUUUUAAGUUAAAAAGCUUAAAUUUUUUAAAAAGACGAGAAGACCCCAUAGAGUUUUACAAUUGUUUAUUUGAUUUUUGUUUUGAUUUAAUUUUGAGAUUGAAUUAAUGUUGUUUUAUUGGGGUGAUAUGAAAAUUUAAGUAACUUUUUAUUUAUUUUAACAUUAAUUUAUGAAUAUUUGAUCCUAAAUUUUGGAUUAUAAGAUAAAAUUACCUUGGGGAUAACAGCGUAAUUUUUUUUGAGAGUUCUAAUCGAAAAAAGAGUUUGCGACCUCGAUGUUGGAUUAAAGUAAAAUUUUGGUGUAGAAGUUAAAAUUUUAAGUCUGUUCGACUUUUAAAACA